rnacentral:tRNA from 1 species
GCGGCGCUGACCCGUUCCCGGGUGGGCCGCCCGGAGCGCGGCUGGCUGGACAAGCUGGUCGCCCGGGGCUCCUCCGGGGUGCUGUUC